CUUCAGUUUCCUGGUGCCAGGCAAGACCAUGGAAGCUUUCUUAGCUGCAGCGUAUUGUUUAAACCAUGGACUCAACAUCCCAAAGAGCUGUGUGUGCGGUUUAAUGCAAAGUAAAAGCUUUUGAGUGAGGAUCCCUGUAAAUAAGAGCAGAAGUUUGGUUGUGGUUACAAGCAUCCCUCCAUCAGGGUGCCUUGUGCCUCCCACAUGCUGCAGGGAGAUGCUGACAAUGUGGUAUAGAUCAGACGACGUGUCGGGAAGGGGAAAAUUCG